CCUGGCUCAGAUUGAACGCUGGCGGCAGGCCUAACACAUGCAAGUCGAGCGGUAACAGAAAGAAAGCUUGCUUUCUUUGCUGACGAGCGGCGGACGGGUGAGUAAUGCCUGGGAAUAUACCCUGAUGUGGGGGAUAACUAUUGGAAACGAUAGCUAAUACCGCAUAAUCUCUUGUCUUUUACGAGAUGGGAGCAAAGAGGGGGACCUUCGGGCCUCUCGCGUCAGGAUUAGCCCAGGUGGGAUUAGCUAGUUGGUGGGGUAAUGGCUCACCAAGGCGACGAUCCCUAGCUGGUCUGAGAGGAUGAUCAGCCACACUGGAACUGAGACACGGUCCAGACUCCUACGGGAGGCAGCAGUGGGGAAUAUUGCACAAUGGGGGAAACCCUGAUGCAGCCAUGCCGCGUGUAUGAAGAAGGCCUUCGGUUGUAAGUACUUUCUAGUUGUGAGGAAGGCGGUUGGUAGUUAAGUUAAGUC
rnacentral:rRNA from 1 species